rnacentral:misc_RNA from 1 species
GAUGAAGAACGUAGCGAAAUGCGAUAAGUAAUGUGAAUUGCAGAGUUCAGUGAAUCAUCGAAUCUUUGAACGCACAUUGCGCCCCCUGGUAUUCCGGGGGGCAUGCCUGUCCGAGCGUCAUUACAACCCUCAAGCUCAGCUUGGUAUUGGGCCCCGCCGACCCGGCGGGCCCUAAAGUCAGUGGCGGUGCCGUCCGGCUCCGAGCGUAGUAAUUCUUCUCGCUCUGGAGGUCCGGUCGUGUGCUCGCCAGCAACCCCCAAUUUUUUUCAGGUUGACCUCGGAUCAGGUAGGGAUACCCGCUGAACUUAAGCAUAUCAAUAAGCGGAGGA